rnacentral:rRNA from 1 species
AACGAACGCUGGCGGCGCGCCUAAUACAUGCAAGUCGAGCGAGAAGACGUAGCAAUACGUUUGUAAAGCGGCGAACGGGUGAGGAAUACAUGGGUAACCUACCCUCGAGUGGGGAAUAACUAGCCGAAAGGUUAGCUAAUACCGCGUACGCUCCUCGGACUUCGGUUCAGGGAGGAAAGCGAUACCGUGGGUAUCGCGCUCUUGGAUGGGCUCAUGUCCUAUCAGCUUGUUGGUGAGGUAACGGCUCACCAAGGCUUCGACGGGUAGCUGGUCUGAGAGGACGAUCAGCCACACUGGCACUGCGACACGGGCCAGACUCCUACGGGAGGCAGCAGUAAGGAAUAUUGCGCAAUGGGCGAAAGCCUGACGCAGCGACGCCGCGUGGGGGAUGAAGGUCUUCGGAUUGUAAACCCCUUUCGGGAGGGAAGAUGGAACGAGCAAUCGUUCGGACGGUACCUCCAGAAGCAGCCACGGCUAACUUCGUGCCA